rnacentral:tRNA from 1 species
GGGCUUGUAGUUCAGUCGCAGAAUGCUCGCUUCGCAUGCGAGAGGCCCCGGGUUCAAAUCCCGGCAAGUCCA